rnacentral:lncRNA from 1 species
GUGCUUUUUAUACUGAGACCUAGUUCCAUACUUUCAAGUACACACUUUAGCUAUCAAGGGGUAGGCUGCUUCUUAAGGACAUAAAUAAACCUCUUUUCCAGGAUAGGUAUAAAUAGAAUCCUGACAAAUGAAUCUGCUAAUUGGUCUUUUCUGCUUCAGACAUUAGCUAAUAGUUAGCCAGAACAUACAUACCGUUAAGCUUUCCACAUUUCCUGGCUGAAUGACUUCAUAUUCAUGCACCUGCUAGUGUCCACUGGAAAAGAUUUCUUGACUAAUGGUAAAGUGUAAGCUAAGUUUUGGAGUCUUACAUUCUUGCAAAAGGUAUCCUUCCCGAAUCCCAGGGGUAUACAUCUGAACCCCAUAACACUAUCUCUGGCAAUUGCUGGGCUUUUUGACUGAAGUUCUAGAGCAGAGUGUCAACUCUGAUUGGUAGAUGUGGAAUUGGAGGAAGUGAUGCAAGACAAAAUGCCUUUAAAAGAGAAAGGGCUACACAGAGUGGUGAUUCUUGGAGCAGAGAUAAACUUGGACUUCCACUUCUGCUGGAUAUCAGUUCUUCAUGCUUUCAAGUUGAGUCUGGUGAAGAGAGGCAGAAGAAUCUGCUGACUGGACUGACACUUGGUGCCACGGGCAUGAGAGUGCUGGCUGAGUUCAGAGUGCAGCAGAGGAGCCACCUGAAAAGAAUUUGUCUGAUUAAAGAAAACUUGAAGCUUUUUGAGUCCCCAAAGGAAAGGAACUUGAAAAUCCCAGAGACAUGAAUGUCUUUUUAGAGAGACUCUAAGGGAACUCUCACUUAGAGAGUCCCAAGAGACUGAAUGAGGACUGAAGCUCUUGUCUAUUGUCAGACAUACAUCUCCACCAAUAGAGAGAGAAAUCCUUACCAACAGUCUUUGGGACAAGGUAAAUUUACAUACCUAAAAAAUUAAAUUACUUAAUUUCCUUAAAAGAUUUUAAUAGCUUAAAAUUUCAAAGUA